CCCUUAGAUGUUCUGGGCCGCACGCGCGCUACACUGAUGCAUUCAACGAGUCUAAAACCUGCUCUGAUAGGGGUGGGUAAUCUUUUGAAUGUGCAUCGUGAUUGGGAUAGAUGAUUGCAAUUUUUCAUCUUCAACGAGGAAUGCCUAGUAAACGCAAGUCAUCAGCUUGCAUUGAUUACGUCCCUGCCCUUUGUACACACCGCCCGUCGCUCCUACCGAUUGAAUGAUCCGAUGAGGCUUUGGGAUCUGAGCGGAAAGAGCGUUUCGCUGUUUCUGCUCGGAAAACUCAGUCGAACCUUAUCAUUUAGAGGAAGGAGAAGUCGUAACA
rnacentral:rRNA from 1 species